GAUGAACGCUAGCUACAGGCUUAACACAUGCAAGUCGCGGGGUAACAUCUGGGAGAGCUUGCUCUUCCAGGAUGACGACCGGCGCACGGUGAGUAACGCGUAUCCAACCUGGCCCAUACCACGGGAUAGCCCGUCGAAAGGCGGAUUAAUACCGUAUGCUGUCAUUAAGAGGCAUUUUUUGAUGACGAAAGGAUUGGCGGUAUGGGAUGGGGAUGCGUCUGAUUAGCUUGUUGGCGGGGUAACGGCCCACCAAGGCGACGAUCAGUAGGGGGUUCUGAGAGGAAGGUCCCCCACAUUGGAACUGAGACACGGUCCAAACUCCUACGGGAGGCAGCAGUGAGGAAUAUUGGUCAAUGGGCGCAAGCCUGAACCAGCCAAGUAGCGUGAGGGAAGACUGCCCUACGGGUUGUAAACCUCUUUUGUUUGGGAAUAAAGUGCGGGACGCGUCCCGCAUUGCAUGUACCAUUCGAAUAAGGACCGGCUAAUUCCGUG
rnacentral:rRNA from 1 species